rnacentral:rRNA from 1 species
GACGAACGCUGGCGGCGUGGAUUAGGCAUGCAAGUCGGACGGUAGGGCUUUAUCGUAAGAUAGAGUUUGAGAGUGGCGAACGGGUGAGUAACACGUAGGAAUCUACCCUUAAGACGGGGACAACCCAGGGAAACUUGGGCUAAUACCGGAUGAGAGUGCGAGAGAUUGCAUUUAAAAGGAUGGCGAAAGUUGUCGCUUAGGGAUGAGCCUGCGGUCUAUUAGUUAGUUGGUGAGGUAAGAGCUCACCAAGGCGAUGAUAGAUAGGCGGCCUUAACGGGUGGUCGCCCACACUGGGGAUUGAGAUACGGCCCAGACUCCUACGGGAGGCCAGCAGUCGAGAAUAGUCUACAAUGGCCGGAAGGCUGAUAGUGCGACGCCGCGUGAACGAGGGAGCCCUCGGGUGUAAAGUUCGUUUUCUAUACGAGCAGUGCUAUAUAUAUAGGAUAGUAUAUAUAAGAGGGAGUAGUAGUAUAGGAAUAAAGCAACGGCUAACUACCGUGCCAGCAAGCCGG